rnacentral:rRNA from 1 species
GACGUAGGGCGCGAGCGUUGUCCGGAUUUAUUGGGCGUAAAGAGCUCGUAGGCGGUCUGUCGCGUCUGCUGUGAAAACUCAGGGCUUAACCCUGAGCUUGCAGUGGGUACGGGCAGACUAGAGUGCGGUAGGGGAGACUGGAAUUCCUGGUGUAGCGGUGAAAUGCGCAGAUAUCAGGAGGGACACCGGUGGCGAAGGCGGGUCUCUGGGCCGUAACUGACGCUGAGGAACGAAAGCGUGGGGAGCGAACAGG